UGAAGACUCCGCCUCAAUCCGCCUACCCG
rnacentral:piRNA from 1 species